GAUGAACGCUGGCGGCGUGCCUAAUACAUGCAAGUCGAGCGAACAGACGAGGAGCUUGCUCCUCUGACGUUAGCGGCGGACGGGUGAGUAACACGUGGAUAACCUACCUAUAAGACUGGGAUAACUUCGGGAAACCGGAGCUAAUACCGGAUAAUAUAUUGAACCGCAUGGUUCAAUAGUGAAAGACGGUUUUGCUGUCACUUAUAGAUGGAUCCGCGCCGCAUUAGCUAGUUGGUAAGGUAACGGCUUACCAAGGCGACGAUGCGUAGCCGACCUGAGAGGGUGGUCGGCCACCCUGGAACUGGGACACCGUCCAGGCUCCUAAGGGAGGCAGCAGUAGGGAAUCUUCCGCAAUGGGCGAAAGCCUGACGGAGCAACGCCGCGUGAGUGAUGAAGGUCUUCGGAUCGUAAAACUCUGUUAUUAGGGAAGAACAAAUGUGUAAGUAACUAUGCACGUCUUGACGGUACCUAAUCAGAAAGCCACGGCUAACUACGUG
rnacentral:rRNA from 1 species